rnacentral:rRNA from 1 species
UACGUAGGUCCCGAGCGUUGUCUGGAUUUAUUGGGCGUAAAGCGAGCGCAGGUGGUUUAUUAAGUCUGGUGUAAAAGGCAGUGGCUCAACCAUUGUAUGCAUUGGAAACUGGUAGACUUGAGUGCAGGAGAGGAGAGUGGAAUUCCAUGUGUAGCGGUGAAAUGCGUAGAUAUAUGGAGGAACACCGGUGGCGAAAGCGGCUCUCUGGCCUGUAACUGACACUGAGGCUCGAAAGCGUGGGGAGCAAACAGG